GUGUUUGUUGGUAGGGGCGUUUGGUGGAUGCCUUGGUACCAGGUGCCGAUGAAGGACGUUACGGCCGGCGAUAGCCCCGGGGAGUUGGCGAGUGUGCGUUGAUCCGGGGGUUUCCGAAUGGGGGAACCUAGCCCGAGUUGUGUCGGGUUGCCGCGCAUUGAAUUGAUAGGUGUGUGGUGGGAUACGCGGGGAAGUGAAACAUCUCAGUACCCGUAGGAAAAGAUAUUCCGUGAGUAGUGGCGAGCGAAAGCGGAUGAUGGCUAAACCGUGUGCGUGUGAUACUCGGCAGGGGUUGCGUGUGCGGUGUUGUGGGGUCUGUCUGUUGGUUACUGCCGUGGCCAAGACCUUAAUGUGUUGUCGAGUCGAAGCUUCUGGGAUGGAGUGCCGUAGAGCGUGAUAGUCGUGUAGAUGGUUGGCAGCAUGUGUGGGUUUGGAUGGUGUCCCCGAGUAGCGCGGGCCUCGUGGAAUCCCGUGUGAAUCUGCCCAGACCACUGGGUAAGCCUGAAUACGUCCUGGUGACCGAUAGUGUAGUAGUACCGUGAGGGAAUGGUGAAAAGUACCCCGGGAGGGGAGUGAAAGAGUUCCUGAAACCAAGCGUCUAUAAGCCGUCAGAGCCUGCCUGUUGGUGGGUGGUGGCGUGCCUAUUGAAGAAUGAGCCUGCGAGUUAUGAUGCGUGGCGAGGUUAACCCGUGUGGGGUAGUCGUAGCGAAAGCGAGUCUGUUAAGGGCGUUGAGUUGCGUGUUGUAGACCCGAAGCGGGGUGAUCUACCCAUGGCCAGGUUGAAGCGGCUGUAAUAGGUUGUGGAGGACCGAACCCACCUAGGUUGAAAACUGGGGGGAUGAGCUGUGGGUAGGGGUGAAAGGCCAAUCAAACUCCGUGAUAGCUGGUUCUCCCCGAAAUGUAUUUAGGUACAGCGUCUCGUGUGCUUGCGUGAGGUAGAGCUACUGGUUGGCUGAUGGGCCUUAUUGGUUACUGACGUCAGCUAAACUCCGAAUGCGCGUUAAGUUGAGCGGGGCAGUGAGACUGCGGGGGAUAAGCUUCGUAGUCGAGAGGGAAACAGCCCUGACCGCCGGUUAAGGCCCCUAAGGGUAUGCUCAGUGGGAAAGGAUGUGGGGUUGCUGUGACAGCCAGGAGGUUGGCUUAGAAGCAGCCAUCCUUGAAAGAGUGCGUAAUAGCUCACUGGUCAAGUGAUCCUGCGCCGAUAAUGUAGCGGGGCUUAAGUAUACCGCCGAAACCGCGGCAACACUCUUUUUUGUGUUGGGUAGGGGAGCGUCCUGCACGCGUUGAAGCUGCCGGGUGACCGUGUGGUGGAGUGUGUGGGAGUGAGAAUGCAGGCAUGAGUAGCGAGUGGGAAGUGAGAAUCUUCCCCGCCGAUAAACCAAGGGUUCCAGGGGCAGGUUUAUCCUCCCUGGGUUAGUCGGGUCCUAAGGCGAGGCCGUCAGGCGUAGUCGAUGGUUGACCAGUUGAUAUUCUGGUACCGGCUUGUUCUCGUCCAUAGCCCCCUGAUGGAAGCAUGCGACGCCUGAAGCCGGGUUGUCCUUCGGGAUGGCUUUGGUGGUGGGUCUUGUGUGUGGAUGUUGGGUGUGGUUAAGCGCUUUAACAGGGGUGACGCACAGUGGUAGCCUGGCGCGGCGGUGGUUGUCCGUGUUCAAGCCCGCAGCCCGCAUCCUAGGUAAAUCCGGGGUGCUGCCUUGAAUGGUGGGGGUGAGGGGUGAUGGUGGCCCACGUUUUGUGGGGAUAACAGGGUGAGCCUGUGGUGCCUAGAAAAGCCUCGGCGUGAGAGGGCAUGCCGCCCGUACCCUAAACCGACUCUGGUGGUUGGGUAGAGUAUACUAAGGCGAGCGAGAGAAUCGUGGUUAAGGAACUCGGCAAACUGCCUCCGUAACUUUGGGAGAAGGAGGCCCCACUCCUUGAAGGAUCCGUUGCGGUUCUAGGGGUUGUGGGGGGCACAUGUAGGGGGGAAGCGACUGUUUAUCAAAAACACAGGUGCGUGCGAAGCCGUAAGGCGAUGUAUACGCACUGACGCCUGCCCGGUGCUGGAAGGUUAAGCGGAAGGCUCAGCCCGCUUUUGUGGGUGAAGGUUUGAAGUUAAGCCCCAGUAAACGGCGGUGGUAACUAUAACCAUCCUAAGGUAGCGAAAUUCCUUGUCGGGUAAGUUCCGACCUGCACGAAUGGCGUAACGACUUCCCUGCUGUCUUAACCGCGAACUCGGCGAAAUUGCAUUACGAGUAAAGAUGCUCGUUACGCGCAGCAGGACGGUAAGACCCCGGGACCUUUACUAUAGCUUGGUAUUGGUGUCUGGUUAUGUUUGUGUAGGAUAGGUGGGAGACUGUGAAGCUGUCACGCUAGUGGUGGUGGAGUCGUUGGUGAAAUACCACUCUGAUAUGAUUGGUCAUCUCAACCUCGGCCCGUGAUCCGGGUCAGGGACAGUGCCUGGUGGGUAGUUUAACUGGGGCGGUUGCCUCCUAAAGGGUAACGGAGGCGCUCAAAGGUCUCCUCAGCCUGGUUGGUAAUCAGGUGUUGAGUGUAAGUGUAGAAGGAGGCUUGACUGUGAGACUGACGGGUCGAGCAGGUGCGAAAGCAGGAACUAGUGAUCCGGCCAUGGCUUGUGGAAGCGUGGUCGCUCAACGGAUAAAAGGUACCCCGGGGAUAACAGGCUGAUCUUGCCCAAGAGUCCAUAUCGACGGCAUGGUUUGGCACCUCGAUGUCGGCUCGUCGCAUCCUGGGGCUGGAGUUGGUCCCAAGGGUUGGGCUGUUCGCCCAUUAAAGCGGUACGCGAGCUGGGUUCAGAACGUCGUGAGACAGUUCGGUCCCUAUCCGCUGCGCGCGUUAAGAGACUUGAGAAGGGCUGUCCCUAGUACGAGAGGACCGGGACGGACGAACCUCUGGUGUGCCAGUUGUAUCGCCAGGUGCAUGGCUGGUUGGCUACGUUCGGGAUGGAUAACCGCUGAAAGCAUCUAAGCGGGAAGCCGGCUUCGAGAUGAGGUCUCUAUACACUAUUGUGUGGGAGGAUCCCUAGAGAUGAUGGGGUUGAUAGGCCAGGUGUGGAAGGACCGUGAGGUGUGGAGCUGACUGGUACUAAUUGUCCGAUGACAAGCACAA
rnacentral:rRNA from 1 species